AUACUUACCUGGGAGGGGAGAUACCAUGAUCACAAAGGUGGUUUUCCCAGGGCAAGGCUUAUCCAUUGCACUCCGGAUGUGCUGAUCCCUGCAAUUUCCCCAAAUGUGGGAAACUCAACUGCAUAAUUUGUAGUAGUGGGGAACUGCGUUCAUGCUGUCUCCUG
rnacentral:snRNA from 1 species